AUCUGUGCUGAGACCUUGCGCUCAUCACCCCAGUGCUGGGAGUCCCACUAACUCGGUGGUAAGGGCUUUUCCCGGGGACAGCGCAGGAACGGGCAAAAUCAGUCCUUUUACGGAAGGAGAAGCCCGGCCUCUAAGAUGGGAAGUGACUUGUUGGGGUCACCUGGUAGGUAGGCGGCAGAGUUGGAUUCGAUCCUGCUCUGACGCCAUAACCUGCGUCCCCCCUCCCCCGCCCCGUCUGCAAGAGGUCAGAGUCAGGUGGUGUCCUGGACUCCUGGCCCAACCACACAGAAAUGCGAGUCCCACCUCACAGCUCCGGGGCUGUGGCUCCCCAGCGCUCUCCAGGGUCAGGCGCGUUGGGUCACGCCUGUAAUCCCAGCACUUUGGGAGGCCAAGGAGGGUGGAUCACCUAUCAGGAGUUCGAGACCAGCCUGGCCAACAGAGUGAAACCCCAUCUCUAUCAAAAAUACAAAAAAAUUAGCCAGGUGUAGUGGCUUGCACCUGUAAUCCCAGCUACCCAGGAAGCUGAGGCAGGAGAAUUGCUUGAACCCGGGAGGUGGAAGUUGCAGUGAGCCAGGAUCGCACCACUGCGCUCCAGCCUGGACAACAGAGCAAGACUCCAUCUCAAAAAAAAAAAAAAAAAA
rnacentral:lncRNA from 1 species